AUGCUUCCCCACCUUCCAAACCCUCAAAAUUGUCCUUAUCUUGGAAAAUCCCCAUGGAUCCGGAGCUUGUCAUCCGCUCCCAGAACCCCCCGUGCACACGGGCCCUUGAGACCCCGUGCACACGGGACCCCGUCCACACGGGCCUCACUUACCCCAUGCGCACGGACCAUCCAGGAACUUUCGGCCAUCUUUUGUUUGCACCAUUUUGCUUCCAUACCAACACUCGUCUUCUUCCGCACUAUUUCUCGUGGUUGUUUGAGUUUCGGACCGUGGUUUCUCUUGUGUCCUAAGGUGUUUCGGCUACUUAGGCGCAUUUGGACAUCAUCAUUGCCGCCACUCGAUCAUCAACUCGGACACCACACCGGCUUCAACGACUUCAUUCUUACCAUACGAUCGGAUGGUAACCACAACGACAUCUCACCCUUGCUUUUGCAUUGA
rnacentral:rRNA from 1 species